AGGAAAAGUUACAGGCACAUCGUCAUAUUCUAACAAAUAGUGCCAUAGUUGACCCAUUUCUUCAGGAAUUUAGAGACACUAUACGAAGACAAUUGAGAAAUCGGAGUCGACAAUCAUCUUUGAUAGACAAGAGAGUUCAUAGGGAAUUUGUAGAUUGGUUUUCACGUCGUAUAAGGAAUGACUCAACUAGCCUUCACUCAACUGAUUUCAAAUUCUUAGCCAUGGGUCCAAUUGAUAUUGCAAAGCGAUAUAGUGCCUACAAUGUUAACGGAUUCAA